UGCAGGCAGUGUGUGUGUGUGUGUGUGUGUGUGUGUGCACCACAGACCACUCAUCUGUA
rnacentral:miRNA from 1 species